rnacentral:rRNA from 1 species
UACGAAGGGGGCUAGCGUUGUUCGGAAUCACUGGGCGUAAAGGGCGCGUAGGCGGCCGAUCAAGUCGGGGGUGAAAGCCUGUGGCUUAACCACAGAAUGGCCUUCGAUACUGUUUGGCUUGAGACCGGAAGAGGUUAGUGGAACUGCGAGUGUAGAGGUGAAAUUCGUAGAUAUUCGCAAGAACACCAGUGGCGAAGGCGGCUGACUGGUCCGGUUCUGACGCUGAGAUGCGAAAGCGUGGGGAGCAAACAGG